UACGUAGGGGGCUAGCGUUGUCCGGAAUCAUUGGGCGUAAAGAGCGUGUAGGCGGUCCUGUAAGUCCGCUGUGAAAGUCGGGGGCUCAACCCUCGAAUGCCGGUGGAUACUGUCGGGCUAGAGUGCGGAAGAGGCGAGUGGAAUUCCUGGUGUAGCGGUGAAAUGCGCAGAUAUCGGGAGGAACACCUGAGGCGAAGGCGGGCUACUGGGACGAUACUGACGCUGAUGUGCGAAAGCCAGGGGAGCGAACGGG
rnacentral:rRNA from 1 species